rnacentral:rRNA from 1 species
AGUGAACGCUGGCGGUAGGCCUAACACAUGCAAGUCGAACGGCAGCACAGUAAGAGCUUGCUCUUACGGGUGGCGAGUGGCGGACGGGUGAGGAAUACAUCGGAAUCUACUUUUUCGUGGGGGAUAACGUAGGGAAACUUACGCUAAUACCGCAUACGACCUACGGGUGAAAGCAGGGGAUCUUCGGACCUUGCGCGAUUGAAUGAGCCGAUGUCGGAUUAGCUAGUUGGCGGGGUAAAGGCCCACCAAGGCGACGAUCCGUAGCUGGUCUGAGAGGAUGAUCAGCCACACUGGAACUGAGACACGGUCCAGACUCCUACGGGAGGCAGCAGUGGGGAAUAUUGGACAAUGGGCGCAAGCCUGAUCCAGCCAUACCGUGUGGGUGAAGAAGGCCUUCGGGUUGUAAAGCCCUUUUGUUGGGAAAGAAAAGCAGCAGGUUAAUACCCUGCUGUUCUGACGGUACCCAAAGAAUAAGCACCGGCUAACUUCGU